ACAGGUGUUGCAUGGCUGUCGUCAGCUCGUGUCGUGAGAUGUUCGGUUAAGUCCGCUAACGAGCGCAACCCUCGUCGUAUGUUAUAUGUGUCAUACGAGACUGCCGGUAAAAAGCCGGAGGAAGGUGAGGAUGAUGUCAAGUCAGCAUGGCCUUUAUAUCCAGGGCUACACACACGCUACAAUGGUCUGUACAAUGGGUAGCCAAGCCGCGAGGCGGAGCCAAUCCUGAAAGCAGGCCUCAGUUCAGAUUGCAGUCUGCAACUCGACUGCAUGAAGCCGGAGUUGCUAGUAACCGCAGGUCAGCAAUACUGCGGUGAAUACGUUCCCGGGUCCUU
rnacentral:rRNA from 1 species